GCCCGCCUAGCUCAAUCGGAUAGAGCGUCAGACUCUUAUGAGCCUAAAAGCGGGUGAUCUGAAGGCUGCGAGUUCGACCCUCGCGGUGGGCU
rnacentral:tRNA from 2 species